AUUGAACGCUGGCGGCAGGCCUAACACAUGCAAGUCGAGCGGAUGAAGGGAGCUUGCUCCUGGAUUCAGCGGCGGACGGGUGAGUAAUGCCUAGGAAUCUGCCUGGUAGUGGGGGAUAACGUCCGGAAACGGGCGCUAAUACCGCAUACGUCCUGAGGGAGAAAGUGGGGGAUCUUCGGACCUCACGCUAUCAGAUGAGCCUAGGUCGGAUUAGCUAGUUGGUGGGGUAAAGGCCUACCAAGGCGACGAUCCGUAACUGGUCUGAGAGGAUGAUCAGUCACACUGGAACUGAGACACGGUCCAGACUCCGACGGGAGGCAGCAGUGGGGAAUAUUGGACAAUGGGCGAAAGCCUGAUCCAGCCAUGCCGCGUGUGUGAAGAAGGUCUUCGGAUUGUAAAGCACUUUAAGUUGGGAGGAAGGGCAGUAAGUUAAUACCUUGCUGUUUGGACGUUACCAACAGAAUAAGCACCGGCGAACUUCGU
rnacentral:rRNA from 1 species